rnacentral:rRNA from 1 species
AGAGUUUGAUCCUGGCUCAGAACGAACGCUGGCGGCAGGCCUAACACAUGCAAGUCGAGCGCCCGCAAGGGAGCGGCAGACGGGUGAGUAACGCGUGGGAACGUGCCCUUUGGUUCGGAAUAUUCCCGGGAAACUGGGAGCAAAACCGGAUAAGCCCUUCGGGGGAAAGUUUACGCCAAAGGAUCGGCCCGCGUUAGAUUAGGUAGUUGGUGGGGUAACGGCCUACCAAGCCUACGAUCUAUAGCUGAUCUGAGAGGAUGAUCAGCCACACUGGGACUGAGACACGGCCCAGACUCCUACGGGAGGCAGCAGUGGGGAAUCUUGGACAAUGGGCGCAAGCCUGAUCCAGCCAUGCCGCGUGGAUGACUGAAGGCCCUAGGGUUGUAAAGUCCCUUCGACGGGGACGAUAAUGACGGUACCCGUAGAAGAAGCCCCGGCUAACUUCGUGCCAGCAGCCGCGGUAAUACGAAGGGGGCUAGCGUUGUUCGGAUUUACUGGGCGUAAAGGGCGCGUAGGCGGAUUUUUAAGUCGGGGGUGAAAUCCCGGAGCUCAACUCCGGAACUGCCUUCGAUACUGGAAGUCUGGAGCACGGUAGAGGUGAGUGGAAUUCCGAGUGUAGCGGUGAAAUGCGUAGA